UUGAAAGUUGACGCUGGCGGCGUGCUUAACACAUGCAAGUCGAACGAUGAUCCCAGCUUGCUGGGGGAUUAGUGGCGAACGGGUGAGUAACACGUGAGUAACCUGCCCUUGACUCUGGGAUAAGCCUGGGAAACCGGGUCUAAUACUGGAUAUGACCUUCUGGCGCAUGCCAUGUUGGUGGAAAGCUUUAUUGCGGUUUUGGAUGGACUCGCGGCCUAUCAGCUUGUUGGUGGGGUAAUGGCCUACCAAGGCGACGACGGGUAGCCGGCCUGAGAGGGUGGACGGCCACACUGGGACUGAGACACGGCCCAGACUCCUACGGGAGGCAGCAGUGGGGAAUAUUGCACAAUGGGCGCAAGCCUGAUGCAGCGACGCCGCGUGGGGGAUGAAGGCCUUCGGGUUGUAAACCUCUUUCAGUAGGGAAGAAGCGAAAGUGACGGUACCUGCAGAAGAAGCGCCGGCUAACUACGUGCCAGCAGCCGCGGUAAUACGUAGGGCGCAAGCGUUAUCCGGAAUUAUUGGGCGUAAAGAGCUCGUAGGCGGUUUGUCGCGUCUGCCGUGAAAGUCCGGGGCUUAACUCCGGAUCUGCGGUGGGUACGGGCAGACUAGAGUGA
rnacentral:rRNA from 1 species